GACGGUAAGGUAUUGGCUUACCGUGGCAGUGACGGUUAACGGGGAAUUAGGGUUCAAUUCCGGAGAGGGAGCCUGAGAAACGGCUACCACAUCUAAGGAAGGCAGCAGGCGCGCAAAUUACCCAAUUCUAACAGCAUAAGAGAGGUAGUGACAAGAAAUAACAGUACAAGGCAGUUAAAAUGCUUUGUAAUUGGAAUGAUAGAAAUUUAAAUACUUUUUAAAGUAUCAAUUGGAGGGCAAGUCUGGUGCCAGCAGCCGCGGUAAUUCCAGCUCCAAUAGCGUAUAUUAAAAUUGUUGCAGUUAAAAAGCUCGUAGUUGAAUUUUUGCUAAAAAUAACCGGUCUGCUUUUAUUAAUAAAAGUGGUAUCUUGGUGUGUUUUUAGCAAUAAUGUCCUUUGAAAUGUUUUUUACUUUAUUGUAAAAAGCAAUUUUCAGGAUUUUUACUUUGAGAAAAUUAGAGUGUUUCAAGCAGGCUAACGUUUUGAAUACUGCAGCAUGGAAUAAUAAAAUAGGAUUUUAGUUCUACGUUAUUGGUUUUAAGAACUAAAUUAAUGAUUGAUAGGAGCAGUUGGGGGCAUUUGUAUUUAACUGUCAGAGGU
rnacentral:rRNA from 1 species